GACGGAGGAUGCAAGCGUUAUCCGGAAUCACUGGGCGUAAAGCGUCUGUAGGUGGUUUAAUAAGUCAACUGUUAAAUCUUGAGGCUCAACCUCAAAAUCGCAGUCGAAACUAUUAGGCUAGAGUAUAGUAGGGGUAAAGGGAAUUUCCAGUGGAGCGGUGAAAUGCGUAGAGAUUGGAAAGAACACCGAUGGCGAAGGCACCUUACUGGGCUAUUACUAACACUCAGAGACGAAAGCUAGGGUAGCAAAUGGG
rnacentral:rRNA from 1 species